GAUGAACGCUGGCGGCGUGCCUAAUGCAUGCAAGUCGAGCGAACAGAUGAGGAGCUUGCUCCUCUGACGUUAGCGGCGGACGGGUGAGUAACACGUGGAUAACCUACCUAUAAGACUGGGAUAACUUCGGGAAACCGGAGCUAAUACCGGAUAAUAUAUUGAACCGCAUGGUUCAAUAGUGAAAGCGGGUUUUGCUGUCCCUAAUAGAUGGAUCCGCGCCGCAUUAGCUAGUUGGUAAGGUAACGGCUUACCAAGGCAACGAUGCGUAGCCGACCUGAGAGGGUGAUCGGCCACACUGGAACUGAGACACGGUCCAGACUCCUACGGGAGGCAGCAGUAGGGAAUAUUCCGCAAUGGGCGAAAGCCUGACGGAGCAACGCCGCGUGAGUGAUGAAGGUCUUCGGAUCGUAAAACUCUGUUAGUAGGGAAGAACAAAUGUGUAAGUAACUAUGCACGUCUUGACGGUACCUAAUCAGAAAGCCACGGCUAACUACGUG
rnacentral:rRNA from 1 species